ACACGGUGAGACUGCGAAUGGCUCAUUAAAUCAGAAACUGUUUAUUUGAUAGUGCCUACUACCUGGAUAACCGUAGUAAUUCUAGAGCUAAUACAUGCUAACAGCCUGAACUUCUGG
rnacentral:rRNA from 1 species